rnacentral:sRNA from 1 species
UCUGAAACGUUGGCCGUCUCGGUACGGCA